UGAUGGCAAAACAGGUUGGAGACUACAUAAGACUUUGACAGUUGGCGGGAAACCAUCAUCAACUGGAGAGAUGCCGGUAAAGGAAUGUCUGCGACUAAGUCAAGGGCCACUGGAUAAGGGUUGUUGAUGGCAAAACAGGUUGGAGACUACAUAAGACUUUGACAGUUGGCGGGAAACCAUCAUCAACUGGAGAGAUGCCGGUAAAGGAAUGUCUGCGACUAAGUCAAGGGCCACUGGAUAAGGGUUGUUGAUGGCAAAACAGGUUGGAGACUACAUAAGACUUUGACAGUUGGCGGGAAACCAUCAUCAACUGGAGAGAUGCCGGUAAAGGAAUGUCUGCGACUAAGUCAAGGGCCACUGGAUAAGGGUUGUUGAUGGCAAAACAGGUUGGAGACUACAUAAGACUUUGACAGUUGGCGGGAAACCAUCAUCAACUGGAGAGAUGCCGGUAAAGGAAUGUCUGCGACUAAGUCAAGGGCCACUGGAUAAGGGUUGUUGAUGGCAAAACAGGUUGGAGACUACAUAAGACUUUGACAGUUGGCGGGAAACCAUCAUCAACUGGAGAGAUGCCGGUAAAGGAAUGUCUGCGACUAAGUCAAGGGCCACUGGAUAAGGGUUGUUGAUGGCAAAACAGGUUGGAGACUACAUAAGACUUUGACAGUUGGCGGGAAACCAUCAUCAACUGGAGAGAUGCCGGUAAAAAGAUGGCCAUAAAACAGUGACCGCUGAUUCGCAUUGAGUUCUUUCUUACAUAUUG